AACAUGCAUGUUUUGAACGGGCACUGCACUAGUUUAUCAAAAGACAACUGAUCACAAAAGUGAACGAUGAGUCAUUCGUCGUAAUGUUUUACAAAAGCAUGAAUAAGACAAUAAAAAACAAACAACUAGACCUCCACAUCAGGCACUGGACCACCGAUGGGACGGCAACAUAUGUUUACUCCGGCUACUAUGGUUUUCAGUUCCUGGGUCACUCCACAGAGGAUUUACUGGAUACAUUCAAGGUAAGCCAACAGAGCCUCUUAUCAGAUCACAACAAUUAUACUCGAUAUUUACUUUUAAUUCACUCAAUAUUGAAGUUCUGGUGGCCACGAAGGUCCGUUACCAGCAAUCACUUUUAGGUGAUUUGCAGGUGAAGGAGAUGGUUUCAAACUAAAUUUUGUUAAAGAGUGUGUUUUUUUUAAUAGUACACACGUCUCAGCAGCAAUUACGUGACUGUAAUUGAUCUUGUAGGUUCUAUAGUACUGUACUAGGCAUGAACAUAAAAUUUAAUUAGAAAAGUUUCAACAACACUGAACAUUUUAACCAUCAUGAGGUAGGAUUUUCUGCUGGACCAUUGCAUUACACUGCAUUAAUUUUUGUUAGAUGAACCUAAUAAAUUGGCAACUGAAUGUACGGUAUGUAACAUACAUAGAUGUUCAUAAAAAAUGUGUUUGUGUUUGCCAUUGUCUGUUGACCUACAAGUCACCAAAACCAUACAGGCUGUCCUCUUCAUUAUAAAUUAUUCUAUUAUCACACCAGUAAUUGUCAUCUUAAUAAGCUUUGGCUUUAAAGCUUAUCUCAUAAUGUUCAUCCCAUGUCUUACACAUACAUGGCCUACAUGAUCUGCCAUUAACUUGUUGUUUUGUUUUUAUUUAUUUUCUCCUCUGUACAGUGGUACAAAAGAGCUCAGCCUCAGUAAGAUGUUGACGGUGUCAAUGGAUGGACCACAUGUAAAUUGAAAGUUUGUGCAGCUCCUACAACAAGAACAUGGCUAACAGGUGGAUCUCAAAUUCAGAUUGUUAGAAGCUGUGGUCUUCACACCAUGCACAUCUGUAUGAAGAGCGGUUUUGGAGUGUGGCAAGUAGAGAAGCUUCUCAAAGCCCUGGACUUUGUCUUCCACUGAGCACCUGUAAGGCAGCAAGACUUCAACUUGGUGACAGAGUCUAUAAAAUUUCCCCUGCCUUUUUGUGGGCAUUGCUGGCUUGAAAGUUUGCCAGCAGUGGCAAGAGCUAUUGAAAUUUGGCCAUCCAUUGUCACCUAUUUGGACCAGGUCAAAAUGAAGAAGCCUCCCAACCCAGGAUCAUCAUCAUCACACGACACAGUUGUAGAGGUCUGAAUGGAUCCCCUAACUCUACCAAAGUUCCUUCUUCUUCAUGGUUGUCUCAACAAAUUUUCAGCCAUAUCUCACCAAGUACCAAACUGAUGUUCCCAUGAGCCCCUUCCUCAGCUAAGACUUGGAAGAUAUUGUCAUGAUGCCUCAUCAAGCGGGACGUCCUCGAUGUUUCCCUGUCAAAGUAGAACCUAUGGAUCAGUCCAGAGCAGGUGGAUGUUGGAAUGGGAGCCACAGCUGCCUUUACAAUCACUUCCUUUCUACUUUUGUCAGGGAACAUCAAGGAGUCAAAGCAGAGUAGACGAGUUUAGUCAGCUGCAGUUCUUGAAAGACAGUGGGAUUGGUCUCUCAAACAUCUGCAAGAACAUACUGGAUAAGUGCCCACUGAAGUAUCCUUUGGUCCAAAACAUGACAUGUCUGGACCCAGCUAGAAUAUACUCUGAGCCAGAUGUGUGCUUGCAGAGAAUGAAGGACCUCAUCCAGAGGUGAUGUGUUUGAAAAGCAGUUCAUGACAUUCCUCUUCAACACUCUUCGACAUGUUUUUGCACUGGCACAUGAGCACCUCAUCCUUUGUGAAGAAGCUGCUGUUCCUCUCCCAUGGCCACAGUUGAACGGGGGUUCUCAGUCAACUAAGAAGUGGUUGUCGCCCAAAGACUUAUCUGUGACCACGUGAGAGUGUAUAAUGCAUCGACCCAGGUACAACUUACGAAAGAGUUGCUAAACUACUGUGCAACUGCGUGGACCAGGUACAGAAUGCACCUGGAUGAGGAAAAAAGGAAAAAGACAAACGAUGAGCGGGUCUUUAAAAGCAAAAAUGGCUGGAGAUGAACUUGAGGAUUUAUGGAAGAAAAGAAAAACUAUGCACAGUCUAUGUGAGACCCUUAAAAAAGAUGCAGACAGCUUUGCAGUUAGGAAACUUGGAUAGAGAAAUUGAGGAAAAAGGCUAUGAGACAUGUAAAGUGAAAUUGUAUCUUCUCAAAUCCAAGGAUGUAAUCAGCCAGGGGUAAAGAAUGUCUCCCGUAGUGUUGCAACACUCAGUAGAAUGACAGGAAAUAGAUUAUUAAAAUAACCCCCCAACUCUAGUUUCUCAUUCUUCUCUAGAUUUGAUGUUUUUCUCUGUUACGUAUGUGUCAUUGUAUACUGUAUUGAAUUCUUUUGGGUUUUUGGACUGUUGGUCAAAGUAGUUUGAAGACACAACUUUGGGUUCCAGAAACCUUUUGGGAAUUUGUCUUAUUGUUUGACAUUUCAUAAACAAUCAAUAAAUCAGUGAGUUUCAGCUGUGGUCCUCUGUACUGAGAUGUGACAUCUGGUUUUGAUUUCUGAUCAUUUUAUUUGAAUAAAAAAAUGGUUACACACGUUACACCUGUGUGCGUGGGAUUAAUAAAGUUGUUUGUGUUUUAUUCAGUAACGGAUCUGAUAACUUCUUCCACUACUGCCACUUUUGCAUUGGAUUCAGCACUUGGUGUAUUUCCAUAAGAAUAUUAUAUCAGUUUCUCAAUAUCAAUAUCUGCUGAUUUCGAUUAGUUGAUCUGA